GCGGAAGUGGCGGAAUUGGUAGACGCGCUAGAUUUAGGUUCUAGUAUCGUAAGAUGUGAGAGUUCAAGUCUCUCUUUCCGCACCA
rnacentral:tRNA from 5 species